UACGGGGGGGGCAAGCGUUGUUCGGAAUUACUGGGCGUAAAGGGCUCGUAGGCGGCCAACUAAGUCACACGUGAAAUCCCCAGGCUUAACCUGGGAACUGCGUGUGAUACUGGAUGGCUUGAAUUCGGGAGAGGGAUGCAGAAUUCCAGGUGUAGCGGUGAAAUGCGUAGAUAUCGGGAGGAACACCAGUGGCGAAGGCGACUUCCUGGCCUGUUCUUGACGCUGAGGCGCGAAAGCUAGGGUAGCAAACGGG
rnacentral:rRNA from 1 species